UACGUAGGUCCCGAGCGUUGUCCGGAUUUAUUGGGCGUAAAGCGAGCGCAGGUGGUUUAUUAAGUCUGGUGUAAAAGGCAGUGGCUCAACCAUUGUAUGCAUUGGAAACUGGUAGACUUGAGUGCAGGAGAGGAGAGUGGAAUUCUAUGUGUAGCGGUGAAAUGCGUAGAUAUAUGGAGGAACACCGGUGGCGAAAGGGGCUCUCUGGCCUGUAACUGACACUGAGGCUCGAAAGCGUGGGGAGCAAACAGG
rnacentral:rRNA from 1 species